rnacentral:rRNA from 1 species
UACGGAGGAUGCAAGCGUUAUCAGGAAUGAUUGGGCGUAAAGCGUCCGCAGGUGGCUGUGUAAGUCUGCUGUCAAAGAGCGAAGCUCAACUUCGUAAAGGCAGUGGAAACUACACGGCUAGAGUGCGUUCGGGGCAGAGGGAAUUCCUGGUGUAGCGGUGAAAUGCGUAGAGAUCAGGAAGAACACCGGUGGCGAAGGCGCUCUGCUAGGCCGCAACUGACACUGAGGGACGAAAGCUAGGGGAGCGAAUGGG